UACAGAGGUGGCAAACGUUGUCCGGAUUUAUUGGGUGUAAAGGGCAUGUAGGCGGUCUUGUAAGUCAAAGGUGAAAUGUCCCGGCUCAACCAGGUCAUUGCCUUUGAAACUGCAGGGCUUGAGUACGGCAGAGGAGAGCGGAAUUCCCAGUGUAGCGGUGAAACGCGUAGAUAUUGGGAGGAACACCGGUGGCGAAGGCGGCUCUCUGGUCCGAAACUGACGCUGAGAUGCGAAAGCCAGGGGAGCAAACGGG
rnacentral:rRNA from 1 species